rnacentral:lncRNA from 1 species
ACACCAAAAAGUAAUAUACCUCUCCUUUUCACGACGAGUGUAAUCAAAAAUACUUUUUGACACAUCAGGUCCAUUAGUGAUCUCAAGAACAUGGGAUAGAUAAUUGAUUCAUUAAUUGGAGAUGCGAGUGUUACUAUGACGGACAUCUUGGGUUUGUUCUUGGAGUCAAGUGGACACCCCGGGGUGGCGACCAACAAUGGAGGAUGAUGCAUGAUGGUGUUUUUUUUCUAGUGGUAUUAGAGCAUGGUGUUUGGAAUAUGAAGGUGCGACAACUAUAAUUAAAUGCAACAAAUGGAGGUUCACACAUAUUUGAAUCCUAAGGAGUGUGGUUACAAAGUGUAUAGUUGUAAUGUUGACUUGGUUGAAGUGUGUAAUAAAAUGGAUUUUUUUUUUCAACAAUCCUACCAAUAUGUAGAUUUUUAUUGUUUAAUUUGUUUUACUUUUGUUUUAUAUGAAUUACGAUGUAUUUUGGUUCAUUUGUACAGUUUGGAAUUUAAGUAAGAUGUAAAUUGUGGUAGUAAACUAUAAUAAAUAAUGAGGAUUAAGUGUAACUGAGUGAUGAAUAACCCAAACCUAUACCCAACAGGGAUCGGAUAUCCCCGUUACGCCGCUUUCCACAUGAAUUUGAAUUGUAUUUUAGUAUUUUUUUAUUAAAAAAAAAGUUAAAUGUGCAAAAUUAUGUUUUCACAACAAUAUUUUUUUAAAUAAAGAAAAGAAUUGAGAUAAUGGUUUGUUUAAUACUCAAAUUAAAAAUAAAAAAAUAAGUGGAGCGGGUUCAGGGUGGGUAUCAAUGUACUCAUUACCCGCCCUAACCCCAUCUUUUGAAAUAGGAGAAAAUCCGAACCCGAACCCAAAUCCUGUCAACUCGGGUUUUCCCCUUCAAAGCGGGUAGGGUUUGGGCGGAUACCCACGGGUAUGAGUUUUAUGGUCAUACCUACUCUUGAAAUGAAAAAUAUUAUGCAAAAGAGAACUCUCUUUUUUCCCAAUUUUUUUAUUUACAUACUCGCUUUCUACGUUGCAAGGGGGUAAAAUUGAAACGUCAAUGGGCGUACAUGAGACUUGGGUGGACGCAGAAUCAAUGUAUGGAUUAAAUAACAUAGCCCAUUAUACAGUAAAAUGGACCUUCAACAAAAUUAUUAGGCCCAUGUACGUACCAAGUGGCAUUAUUGUCAUUUCAUAAACUUAAAAAACAUUUUCAAUUCUCCUCUUUGGUUAUCCACUUCUUCCCCACUCCUCAAAAAUGGCAGCAAUAUCAAACAACAACCUAUUCUCCACUUUCACUCGCAAUCAACUCAUCAACAACUACCAAAAUCAAUUCACGUUCUAGAGGAACACAAAUUAUGUAAAAGUAUAAUAUUGUGACAGAUAAAGGUAUAAUUAAAAGACCUCUAAAGAAACACAAAUUAUUUAAAGGACUAAUAUGAAAUCAACCGUCUUUUUAGGGACAAAAGAGUAAUUUAUACAACAUUUUUUAAUCAAAUGAAGAGUAAUUUAGCCUUCUUGAUAUAUCAAAUAUUGAUAUGUUAAAUAUUUAAUAAAAAAACAAACAUAUAUUAACAAAUUUAUAUAUUUUGUUGACUACAUUUAUAUAUUAAUUUAGUUAAUUAGUAAAUUCAAUAAAUUAGUAUAUACAGUAACAUUUUUAUAUAUUUUGUUGCUACAUUUGUAUAUUAAUUUAGUAAAUUAGUAAAUUCAAUUAAUUAAUAUAUAUGCAAUAAAUGGAUGCAAUGAAUUAGUUAUUUUGAUGCAAUGAUUAGUUAUUUUGUUUAGGGGGAAUGAAUCUGAAAAUUAGAAAUGUGUAAGUAAAUAUAAAAAUGCAAUAAAAUAAUAAUUUCUAGAUCUUUCACCAUUAGUAUUAAUAUGUGUUAAACCAACACAAGAUAUCAGGAGUGAAAACGAGUGUGAAAGACGAUGACUACUGAGAGAACCAAAGAGUUUAACCUAUUCACAACAUCACAAGUGCAUAUCCAAACACCAUACACUAAUAUCACCAGAGAUAAAAAUCCUCAAGCAUCGUCCUCCAUUAAUGGUCGUUGUCCGGCUUCCACUUGGCUCUAAGAAUAAGGCCAAGAUGCUUGUCAUAGUAACACAUGACAUCCCCAAUGCCCUCUAUCUUCAUAUUCUUUAGAUCAUUGAUGGAGCUGACAUGCCAAAGAGUAUUUUUUAUUACGUUCGUCGUAAAGGAAGGGGAAUAUUCAUUUUCAGUGCAAACGGAGUGAAAAUUUCCCAUGGCUUGAUGUAGACUGACUUGCUCCACCACUUCUGCUGCUCACCGAAAAGUAAUAUACUUCUCCUUUUCACGACGAGUGUAAUCAAAAAUACUUUUUGACACAUCAGGUCCAUUAGUGAUCUCAAGAACAUGGGGUAGAUAAUAGAUUCAUUAAUUGGGGAUGGGUGUGUUACUAUGACAGACAACUUGGGUUUGUUCUCGGAGUCAAGUGGACACCCAGGGUGGCAACCGACAGUGGAGGAUGAUGCAUGAUGGUGUUUUUUUUUCUUCUGGUGGUAUUAGAGCAUGGUGUUUGGAAUAUGAAGGUGCGGCAACUAUAAUUAAAUGCAACAAAUGGAGGUUCACACAUAUUUGAAUCCUAAGGAGUGUGGUUACAAAGUGUGUAGUGGUA